GACGAACGCUGGCGGCGUGCCUAAUACAUGCAAGUCGAGCGAAGCGGCGGAUGGGUGUGUAACGCGCGGUUAACGUGCGCUUAAGUCUGGGAUACCAUGUGGAAACAGAUGCUAAUACCGGCUAAUAAAGGAGGGACCUGCGAUGCAUUAGCUAGUUGGGAAGGUAACGGCUUACCAAGGCGAUGAUGCAUAGCCGAGUGGAGAGACUGACCGGCCACAUGGGGACUGAGACACGGCCCAACCCCCACCGGGAGGCAGCAGUGGGGAAUCUUCCAAAUGGGACGAAAGUCUGAUGGAGCAACGCGGCGGGAGUGAAGAAGGUUUUCGGAUCGUAAAGCUUGGUUGUUGGUGAAGCGGUAAUCAACCAGAAAGUCACGGCUAACUACGUGCCAGCAGCCGCGGUAAUAC
rnacentral:rRNA from 1 species